rnacentral:misc_RNA from 1 species
UUUCCGUAGGUGAACCUGCGGAAGGAUCAUUACUGAGUUAGGGUCUUCUAGGCCCGACCUCCAACCCUUUGCCUACCUUACCUCUUGUUGCUUCGGCUGGCCCGUCCCCCCUAGAAAUAGGGGUCGACCGCCGGAGGGUUUACACCCUCUGGCCCGCGCCCGCCGAUGGCCCUCAACCAAAACUCUUGUUCAAUCGUGAAUUGUCUGAGUACAAAAAACAAAAUAAACCAAAAACUUUCAACAACGGAUCUCUUGGUUCUG